AGGACAGCACUGACCACAUCCAAGACCCUAGACGAUGCAGUGCUCCUGGGAGCUGUGGUACAGUCAGACGGUGGUAACUGGGGCGUGCCUGGCUGCCUUGAAUGAUUAAGAGCAUAUCUAUCCUCCUACCUGGAGUCCACUCUAGUGAAACUGGGAUCCGGAAUGAGGUAGCCCCUCGCGUUCUGUAAAACACUGCCAAAAUUAUAAAACUUGGAUUUAAUUCAACCAGAAACCAGGGCUGCUCUGGGAAGCAGCAGAACCACUUCAACCCCUGGGAACAGGGCCAUGUUUGGAAGUCUCACAGGAUCCUGGAGGUGAAAGUCCAAUUUAGGGAAGACAGCUGGAUUCAGAGAAGACGGGUGAGGGCAGAGGAGGAGGAACAAGAGAGGUACACAGGCAGAACCGCGGCACUCCCUACAAAGUGGAAAAAUAACUACCAAGUACGUGACUCUGAAUUAGAAAGGGAAACGGGCAGAAGAAAACGAAGGCGUGUUACUAUUAACAUUUUUGUCUGUCUAGAGGACUAAAACAUGUCAUAAUUCAGAACCACAGUGCCCAAUAUGAGUUCCUGGUCAGUGC